CAUGGGAAAACUCUUUUCCCCUUAUUUAUGGCAGUGUUGUAAAAACAGCUUUGCUUUCCCUCCCAUCAGAUUCCUGCUGCUGUAGCAGUCUUGCACAAUCAGAAAUGGUUCUGUAAACUCCUGAAAAGUAGCAGUAACGAGAGGCUGUUUGUAUGACUGGACUGUGGUGAAAAUGGAAGUACAAUAAUUACAGAAAUAAAUGGAGGCAGAUAAGGCAUUCAUGGGUGCCGCUCUGAGAUAGCUCUUCUGGUCUGAUUGAUUCAACUGGCGUACGCAGAAUACAGGAACAGUCCUUAAGAACAGAAACAAGUGAAUGUCUGUGAAGUUGCUGCAAUUUAUUAAACAUGGCAGUGGGAAAACAUUAAAAAAUAGCCCCUAUAAGCAGGAGCUCAGAAAGUCUGCUACAAGUCAGUCAAGUAAGAGGUAAUGAAACAGCAUAAAACACAUACAUGGCAGAAGAGGAGAUACUAAACAGUUUCCUUCACCAAAAUUGAUACAACAAAGUUUAAACAUCUCAGCACUGUGGAAAUCCCUUCAACCAAGAUAUUUCACCAGAACUUUUCAUAUUAAACUAUAACUGGGUAACAAGGUACAGCAGCCAAAAUUUUUAA